rnacentral:tRNA from 1 species
GGCCUUGUGGCGCAACUGGUAACGCGUCUGACUCCAGAUCAGAAGGUUAAGUGUUCCAAUCACUUCAAGGUCA